rnacentral:lncRNA from 1 species
GUCGGUCGCGACUACAACAAAGGACUGGCAACGCAAAACGGAGAAUGUUGGAUAGCAAACAAGCGGUAUUGUAUGAGCGUGCUACGCGACCUUGGUUUUGCAAAAACGUCGAUGGAGGAACGCAUGAUGGAUGACUUCCGUCAACUUGAUGCCCGGAUAAGCGACCGAAAGGGCCAGGCUGUGCACAUUCGUCCACUCAUCCUAUCCUGCGUCGCCAACAACAUCAUGUCCUUCUUUUACCCUAACGGACU